GGGCGUAGCUCAAUGGUAGAGCCUUGGCCUUCCAAGCCAACCAUGAGGGUUCGAUUCCCUUCGCCC
rnacentral:tRNA from 1 species